UUAUAGAUCUCUAUCGCACACGUGCUCUUUUCUCCCUCUUUCUCAUUUCUUAUGUUGUUUUUAACCCACAGAAAAGCAUAUAAAAACACCAAUCAACAAACCAAAAAUAAAUUGAGGUUACAGUACCUGCUCUCUAUCGGUUUUACGACCUGAUCAGAAUCUCCCAUCAUGAACAACAUGCUGCAUGCCCGUUUUGUCACAUACUUUCUUCUCGAGAACCAUGCCAUCAAUACUACUGACAGUUUUGGCUACGGGGUAAUUAGCAUGUUGACCAGUGAGUUGUUGGACUAAAGCUAUGAAUUCAGCAGCACUUGUGUUCACAUUCAUUGGAUUUGAUAUGCAAACAACUUUAGCUUUUUUUCUUGUUGGUGUUUUUGGGUUGUUUGCUUGCUUUUUUGGAAUGUACACUCAAGUAUUUUAUCCAUGAAAGCAAUAAUAUUUUUGUGUAGGGGGUGGAGAAGUGGAGGUUUUUUCCUAGGAAGAUGAAAGAAAAUGUUAUAUAAUGGAGUGAAGAAAAGGAAAUUAAAGGGGCAAGUGGAUGUACUGAUCUUUUAUUUAUAUCACAAAUGAAAUGAAAGAUAGUAAAAGGA